GAGUAACCUGCCCUUAACUCUGGGAUAAGCCUGGGAAACUGGGUCUAAUACCGGAUAUGACCCGUCACCGCAUGGUGGUGGGAGGAAAGAUUUUUUGGUUUUGGAUGGACUCGCGGCCUAUCAGCUUGUUGGUGAGGUAAUGGCUCACCAAGGCGACGACGGGUAGCCGGCCUGAGAGGGUGACCGGCCACACUGGGACUGAGACACGGCCCAGACUCCUACGGGAGGCAGCAGUGGGGAAUAUUGCACAAUGGGCGCAAGCCUGAUGCAGCGACGCCGCGUGAGGGAUGAAGGCCUUCGGGUUGUAAACCUCUUUCAGUAGGGAAGAAGCGAAAGUGACGGUACCUGCAGAAGAAGCGCCGGCUAACUACGUGCCAGCAGCCGCGGUAAUACGUAGGGCGCAAGCGUUAUCCGGAAUUAUUGGGCGUAAAGAGCUCGUAGGCGGUUUGUCGCGUCUGCCGUGAAAGUCCGGGGCUCAACUCCGGAUCUGCGGUGGG
rnacentral:rRNA from 1 species